GUCCCUGUGCUUGUUGAUCAUGUGUGGUGUGCUUAUAUGUUUGAUAUGCAACGCUCAGUUCUCCAUGUCCUUGAUCCUGCCCUUGGUGUCGACCGUACGCUGACACACAAAGAGAUCCACAUCACGUUACAUGUUGCCUUCCAGAAAUGCCUGGAAUCAUUCUACGAAGGAUGGUCCAUUCAGCCUUUUGAAAAUUGGAAAUUGCAGUACCCAAUGCUUUCUGCAGCAGAUAUUAGCAGGCACGCUUAAGCACUGUUUUGUUGCAAUAUACCUUUCCUCCAUGUUUUUAUCUUUAUAAUGCACCAUGCCAUUUACAUAUUUGUUAAUAUGCAGUGAUGAUUUUGGCAUUGUGAUGUUACAUUCUGCUCGCUGUUUCGAUGGAGUUCAGAUGCAUCAGCCAGUACAAAAGGACAACAUUGAUUCUAUCCGGCACUCCAUAUUUGUUGAUAUACUAAUGAUGGAACAGAACAAAGCCUGCUUGCCUAAGUCGUUGUCGAACUGCCUCCCCAAGUGAUGCUUCGAUUUUAUCUCAGCUCUUGUUUCCCCUAAAUGGUGUCUUUUGUCCCCAGAUUUUGUAUGUAAAUAUAUUUCUAGGGUGUAUGCUUUCUGGGGGUAGGGGUCGAUGCAGGUGGGACGGAGUACUGAACGCUUCAGCAGUUUGUUUGUUUUGGACGUCAUAUAUGUUAUGGCAUGUUAUCUCUUGGUGUUAGUCUC